rnacentral:rRNA from 1 species
GCGACCCCAAGUCAGGCCAGACCACCCGCUGAGUUUAA